rnacentral:rRNA from 1 species
GGCGCAGCCUGAUGCGCCAUGCCGCGUGUGUGAAGAAGGCCUUCGGGUUGUAAAGCACUUUCAGUCGUGAGGAAGGUGGUGUAGUUAAUAGCUGCAUUAUUUGACGUUAGCGACAGAAGAAGCACCGGCUAACUCCGUGCCAGCAGCCGCGGUAAUACGGAGGGUGCGAGCGUUAAUCGGAAUUACUGGGCGUAAAGCGCAUGCAGGUGGUUUGUUAAGUCAGAUGUGAAAGCCCGGGGCUCAACCUCGGAAUAGCAUUUGAAACUGGCAGACUAGAGUACUGUAGAGGGGGGUAGAAUUUCAGGUGUAGCGGUGAAAUGCGUAGAGAUCUGAAGGAAUACCGGUGGCGAAGGCGGCCCCCUGGACAGAUACUGACACUCAGAUGCGAAAGCGUGGGGAGCAAACAGGAUUAGAUACCCUGGUAGUCCACGCCGUAAACGAUGUCUACUUGGAGGUUGUGGCCUUGAGCCGUGGCUUUCGGAGCUAACGCGUUAAGUAGACCGCCUGGGGAGUACGGUCGCAAGAUUAAAACUCAAAUGAAUUGACGGGGGCCCGCACAAGCGGUGGAGCAUGUGGUUUAAUUCGAUGCAACGCGAAGAACCUUACCUACUCUUGACAUCCAGAGAACUUUCCAGAGAUGGAUUGGUGCCUUCGGGAACUCUGAGACAGGUGCUGCAUGGCUGUCGUCAGCUCGUGUUGUGAAAUGUUGGGUUAAGUCCCGCAACGAGCGCAACCCUUAUCCUUGUUUGCCAGCGAGUAAUGUCGGGAACUCCAGGGAGACUGCCGGUGAUAAACCGGAGGAAGGUGGGGACGACGUCAAGUCAUCAUGGCCCUUACGAGUAGGGCUACACACGUGCUACAAUGGCGCAUACAGAGGGCAGCAAGCUAGCGAUAGUGAGCGAAUCCCAAAAAGUGCGUCGUAGUCCGGAUUGGAGUCUGCAACUCGACUCCAUGAAGUCGGAAUCGCUAGUAAUCGUGGAUCAGAAUGCCACGGUGAAUACGUUCCCGGGCCUUGUACACACCGCCCGUCACACCAUGGGAGUGGGCUGCAAAAGAAGUAGGUAGUUUAACCUUCGGGAGGACGCUUACCACUUUGUGGUUCAUGACUGGGGUGAUCGUUAA